GUCGGGGUUUCGUACGUAGCAGA
rnacentral:piRNA from 2 species